AACGAACGCUGGCGGCAUGCCUAACACAUGCAAGUCGAACGAGAUCUUCGGGUCUAGUGGCGCACGGGUGCGUAACGCGUGGGAAUCUGCCCUUUGGCUCGGAAUAACAGUUGGAAACGACUGCUAAUACCGGAUGAUGACGAAAGUCCAAAGAUUUAUCGCCAGAGGAUGAGCCCGCGUAGGAUUAGCUAGUUGGUGGGGUAAAGGCGCACCAAGGCGACGAUCCUUAGCUGGUCUGAGAGGAUGAUCAGCCACACUGGGACUGAGACACGGCCCAAACUCCUACGGGAGGCAGCAGUGGGGAAUAUUGGACAAUGGGCGAAAGCAUGAUCCAGCAAUGCCGCGUGAGUGAUGAAGGCCUUAGGGUUGUAAAGCUCUCUUACCCGGGAUGAUAAUGACAGUACCGGGAGAAUAAGCUCCGGCUAACUCCGUGCCAGCCGCCGCCGUAA
rnacentral:rRNA from 1 species